rnacentral:rRNA from 1 species
GAUGAACGCUAGCUACAGGCUUAACACAUGCAAGUCGCGGGGCAGCAUGGGGGUUGCUUGCAACCCCUGAUGGCCACCGGCGCACGGGUGAGGAACGCGUAUCCAACCUGCCCUUCACCACGGGAUAACCCGGCGAAAGUCGGACUAAUACCGUAUGUCGUCCAUUGACGGCAUCCGAUUUGGACGAAAGGCUUGGCGGUGUACGGUUGGGGAUGCGUCCGAUUAGCUUGACGGCGGGGUAACGGCCCACCGUGGCUACGAUCGGUAGGGGUUCUGAGAGGAAGGUCCCCCACACUGGAACUGAGACACGGUCCAGACUCCUACGGGAGGCAGCAGUGAGGAAUAUUGGUCAAUGGGCGUAAGCCUGAACCAGCCAAGUAGCGUGCAGGAUGACGGCCCUAUGGGUUGUAAACUGCUUUUAUGCGGGGAUAAAGUGGCCCACGUGUGGGCUUUUGCAGGUACCGCAUGAAUAAGGACCGGCUAAUUCCGUG